GACGAACGCUGGCGGCGUGCUUAACACAUGCCAGUCGAACGGAAAGGCCCUGCUUUUGUGGGGUGCUCGAGUGGCGAACGGGUGAGUAACACGUGAGUAACCUGCCCUUGACUUUGGGAUAACUUCAGGAAACUGGGGCUAAUACCCGAUAGGAGCUCCUGCUGCAUGGUGGGGGUUGGAAAGUUUCGGCGGUUGGGGAUGGACUCGCGGCUUAUCAGCUUGUUGGUGGGGUAGUGGCUUACCAAGGCUUUGACGGGUAGCCGGCCUGAGAGGGUGACCGGCCACAUUGGGACUGAGAUACGGCCCAGACUCCUACGGGAGGCAGCAGUGGGGAAUAUUGCACAAUGGGCGGAAGCCUGAUGCAGCAACGCCGCGUGCGGGAUGACGGCCUUCGGGUUGUAAACCGCUUUCGCCUGUGACGAAGCGUGAGUGACGGUAAUGGGUAAAGAAGCACCGGCUAACUACGUG
rnacentral:rRNA from 1 species